GCAGGAUUUCUGGAUUAAAGGAAAAAUGAAUUUGUGAUUGUAAUAAGGAUUGCCAAAUUGUUUCUCUAGGGCUCUACCCGCUCCCAAAACCAGGAAUGGAGGAAAGUGGCCAUCAGCCUUGCCGAAUGGAGUGUGCUGCCACACUUACAGACUUCUGCAAUGAGAUGGGGAGAGCGGGUCUGUGAAAUUUUCAGAAGCUCAAUGUAUCUGACUUGCAAAUUAGCAGAGCUGAAAGGUGGAGAGGCUACCUUACUGUGUCAUCUUGGAGAGACACCCGAUUGCAGAAGAAAAUAAAGCCAACUGGUCAACUCUUUGCACCUAACUCACCACCCCAUCUUGUUCAUGUUGUCGCCAUUCUACAUGCCGGGAACGUUCACUCCUCUUCAGUGUAUAAUUUUUUUUCCCGUCGGAUCCUAAUUCAAGUCCCACUACUUUCAUGAAGCCCUCCUCAGCUGCUUUAACCUGUGAGACUCCUGGAAUCCUUCUAACAGCUCUCAUCCCUGAAUGCCCGGAUGACUUUUUCUGAUUAUAAACAUGUUGCAGGAUGAGUAAGGAAAACUUGAAAGAGAAGGAAAUAUAUCAUCUUAGUUCUUCUUUGCAGAGAAUAUUAUACUUAGCAUCUUGUGAAUUUUUUAUAUGGACUUAAAAAAGAACUGAUGUAAUAAUGCAU
rnacentral:lncRNA from 1 species